GAGGGUACAGCUCAGUGGCAGAGCACGUGCUUAGCAUGCAUGAGGUCCCGGGAUCAGUCCCCGGUGCCUCCG
rnacentral:tRNA from 1 species